UGGCCCUAGUUUAGUGAAAAACGUUUAGCUUUGCAAGCAAGAGUCCUAAGUUAAAUUCUUAGGGGCUACA
rnacentral:tRNA from 1 species